rnacentral:rRNA from 1 species
GUGCCAGCCGCCGCGGUACUACCGGCAGCCCGAGUGAUGGCCGAUCUUAUUGGGCCUAAAGCGUCCGUAGCUGGCUGCGCAAGUCCGUCGGGAAAUCCACUCGCCCAACGAGUGGGCGUCCGACGGAAACUGCACAGCUUGGGACCGGAAGGCUCGAAGGGUACGUCCGGGGUAGGAGUGAAAUCCCAUAAUCCUGGACGGACCGCCGAUGGCGAAAGCACUUCGGGAAGACGGAUCCGACGGUGAGGCACGAAAGCCAGGGUCUCGAACCGGAUUAGAAACCCGAGUAGUCC